AGAGUUUGAUCAUGGCUCAGAUUGAACGCUGGCGGCAGGCCUAACACAUGCAAGUCGAACGGUAACAGGAAGCAGCUUGCUGCUUCGCUGACGAGUGGCGGACGGGUGAGUAAUGUCUGGGAAGCUGCCUGAUGGAGGGGGAUAACUACUGGAAACGGUAGCUAAUACCGCAUAAUGUCGCAAGACCAAAGAGGGGGACCUUCGGGCCUCUUGCCAUCGGAUGUGCCCAGAUGGGAUUAGCUUGUUGGUGGGGUAACGGCUCACCAAGGCGACGAUCCCUAGCUGGUCUGAGAGGAUGACCAGCCACACUGGAACUGAGACACGGUCCAGACUCCUACGGGAGGCAGCAGUGGGGAAUAUUGCACAAUGGGCGCAAGCCUGAUGCAGCCAUGCCGCGUGUAUGAAGAAGGCCUUCGGGUUGUAAAGUACUUUCAGCGGGGAGGAAGGGAGUAAAGUUAAUACCUUUGCUCAUUGACGUUACCCGCAGAAGAAGCACCGGCUAACUCCGUGCCAGCAGCCGCGGUAAUACGGAGGGUGCAAGCGUUAAUCGGAAUUACUGGGCGUAAAGCGCACGCAGGCGGUUUGUUAAGUCAGAUGUGAAAUCCCCGGGCUCAACCUGGGAACUGCAUCUGAUACUGGCAAGCUUGAGUCUCGUAGAGGGGGGUAGAAUUCCAGGUGUAGCGGUGAAAUGCGUAGAGAUCUGGAGGAAUACCGGUGGCGAAGGCGGCCCCCUGGACGAAGACUGACGCUCAGGUGCGAAGGCGUGGGGAGCAAACAGGAUUAGAUACCCUGGUAGUCCACGCCGUAAACGAUGUCGACUUGGAGGUUGUGCCCUUGAGGCGUGGCUUCCGGAGCUAACGCGUUAAGUCGACCGCCUGGGGAGUACGGCCGCAAGGUUAAAACUCAAAUGAAUUGACGGGGGCCCGCACAAGCGGUGGAGCAUGUGGUUUAAUUCGAUGCAACGCGAAGAACCUUACCUGGUCUUGACAUCACGGAAGUUUUCAGAGAUGAGAAUGUGCCUUCGGGAACCGUGAGACAGGUGCUGCAUGGCUGUCGUCAGCUCGUGUUGUGAAAUGUUGGGUUAAGUCCCGCAACGAGCGCAACCCUUAUCCUUUGUUGCCAGCGGUCCGGCCGGGAACUCAAAGGAGACUGCCAGUGAUAAACUGGAGGAAGGUGGGGAUGACGUCAAGUCAUCAUGGCCCUUACGACCAGGGCUACACACGUGCUACAAUGGCGCAUACAAAGAGAAGCGACCUCGCGAGAGCAAGCGGACCUCAUAAAGUGCGUCGUAGUCCGGAUUGGAGUCUGCAACUCGACUCCAUGAAGUCGGAAUCGCUAGUAAUCGUGGAUCAGAAUGCCACGGUGAAUACGUUCCCGGGCCUUGUACACACCGCCGUCACACCAUGGGAGUGGGUUGCAAAAGAAGUAGGUAGCUUAACCUUCGGGAGGGCGCUUACCACUUUGUGAUUCAUGACUGGGGUGAAGUCGGAACAAGGUAACCGUAGGGGAACCUGCGGUUG
rnacentral:rRNA from 1 species